CAAUCAGAAGCUCCGUGAGGGAAGUUUGAAUUUGCGCUGGGGCUCGGGCUCGGGUGGUACGCAUUACCGAGUCAGAGGCAAAGGAGGACGUCCGGGCCCGUAGGACUUUCUUAUUUUUACUUUGGCUGAGCUUUUACGCGAGAAGGUGCUUCAGGAUGUCUUCAUAUUUUGCCAGCCGUCACAGAAAGGAUUUAAGUACUGAGAUGAUCAGAACUAAAAUUGCUCACAGGAAAUCGCUGUCUCAAAAAGAAAACCGAUAUAAGGAAUAUGAACGAAACAGACACUUCGGUUUGAAAGAUGUCAACAUUCCUCCCUUGCAGAGUAAAACUUGUGUUGAAUUAGAUGAGACGUCUCAGGAACUUGUUCAGAAGGCCAGUGUCAAGCCAAAGUCUGUGAAAACUAUUCUAAGUGAUCAACGCAAACAAAUGCUCCAGAAAUACAAAGAGGAAAAGCAGCUUCAAAAGCUGAAAGAGCAGAGAGAGAAAGCUAAACGAGGAGUGUUUAAAGUGGGCCUUUACAGGCCUGACGUCCCUUCCUUCUUUUCAUCAACGCAGAAUGUUAGGAAAGCUGAGCCAAAAAAGGCCACCUCGUCUUCUGGACGCAUUACAAGAUCAAAGGCCAAGGACCAAAUGGAACCAAGUAAGAUUCCAACCAGGAGUGACAUCAGAACAGCCCAACCUGGCGAAAGACAGGCCACCAGUAGGAGGGCACUGGACAGAGAAAACAGAGUUGUGACCCAAGCAGUGCCUGUGCCCACCCGGAUGACCAGAUCGGCAACUCAGGCCACACAGCAGGUCCCAAGAACACUCUCCGCUGCCCCAGUCAGAAAGCCAGCCACAAGAGCUGCUCUUGACAAUGAACCAGAAAGAAAGGCACCAAUUAAAGGAAGACCUGCCACAAAGAUAGAAACGAAAGCUGACAAGGUGGUUUCUUUUAAAGUCCAUAGUGAAGAAAAGACUUCACAGACCAGCUCAACAAGUGGAACGGAUCCAGAUGAAGCCUUACCAAAAAUGGAAAAGUUACCUAAGACAAAUCCUGCAAAAACAAGAGGCAAGAAUUCCUUCGCGCCUAGAGACUUCGUGUUCCAGCCCCUGAGUGGCGUGAAGACCUACCAAGUGACGCCCAUGACGCCCCGGAGCGCCGAGGCCUUCCUGACGCCCUGCUACACCUGGGACCUGAAGCCACAGGGUGAUAAGAUCCAAGAAACAAGUAAAGAAAUCUUGGCCUCAGAAUGUAAAACUUACUCUACCAAGACACUUCAGCAAGAGUCAAGUAACUUACCAUGUCCUCUGGAUUCUGAACCAGUGUUCAAAGAAGAACGUGACUUGAACCAGAGUGAAGUUGCUACUAGAGACUGCAGUGUCCUGUCCGCCACGGAAGCCCUGCCUCCCACACCCGAGGCCCAUGAGGGUCCCGUCCCUCAGCCGCAGCACGAUGUGCUGUACUUCAGAAAUAUCCUCCGUUCAGAAACUGAGAAGUUAACUCUGAACUGCCUGGCCUGGGACAGGAAGCUUGAGCUGGACCUCCCCGACAACGCUAAAGACCUCAUCCGCACGGCCGUCGGCCAGACGCGACUGCUCAUGAAGGAAAGGUUCAGACAGUUUGAAGGGCUGGUGGACGACUGUGAAUACAAGCGCGGGGAGAAGGAGACCACCUGCACAGACCUGGACGGGUUUUGGGAUAUGGUUAGCUUUCAGAUAGAAGAUGUAAAUAACAAAUUCAUCAAUCUGACGAAACUUGAGGAAUCUCAAUGGCAAAACAGUAACACAAGCAAAAAAGUCUUACGGAAGAAACCUGCCCACAGCGCAGCGAGCAAACCGAGGGAGGAUGACAGCGGCCGUGCAGCCGCCAAGAGCCGGCUGGCGGCGAUCAAGAGUGCAAUGCGAGAGAGGCUGAGGCGGCAGGAGGAGGCCGGGGCUGGAGGGGCCCCGGACACAAUUGUGUUUGAUGCCGGGUUCUUCCGCGUGGAGAGCCCCGCCAAGCCCCUCUCAGAGCCAUCCUGUGAACGUCUGUCACAAAGGCUUGGGGCGCCCCAGUCUGUCACCAGAACUGUGCCUGAGCACAGGGCUGACCUGGGCCUUCGGAGACAGAUGACCGCACCCGAGAAGCCCAGCCCCUGGAGCGCCCAUUGUGGACAUGGUGAUAAGAAGACUCUGUUUUCAAAUACUCCUGAGAGCAGGAACAGCACGGCAGAAGGCGCCCAGUGUUCCGGGUCACAGGAUUUAUUCGACGUGAACCCCGAUGUAAAUAAGACAGACUUCGAGAUGGGUUGUUUACCCGGUGAGACAGUGAAUUCUCAUCUUCCUGAGGGAGGAGUAGCAGAUGAUGCCACAGCUAGCAAGGAGGAAAGUUCGGGUGUCACGGAGCUGAGUUCUUCGGUUCCUGCACAGGAUGUUCUGAUGAGUAGCCCUGAGAAAAACUCACCAGCGCAGAGUAACAUCUUGCAAACAGCAGCUGCUCAAACCUCUCAGCUAGUACUAUUUGAUACCGAAGGUCUCACUACUGAACACCACCUUCUUGAUUCACCAGGCCUGGCCGGCAGCAGCCCCUUCGCCCCGGUGGAGUGGGGGCGUCCACGGGGAACCCGACUCGUCUCCUUCGGCGGGAACCUGAUCGCCUUCUCCCCCUCGAGGCCCUCGGUGGUGGAGCGGCCAGAAGACUAAGGAAUUUAAAAAUAAAUGCAGAAGCUUUCUCCGCGGUGGACUGUCGGAAGUGUGGACAGAUUAUAAAACAGCUGCUGGUACCGGAGCACCCGGAGAAUUCCGCAGCCACCUGGCAGCCAGGCCCAUCUGUGGAGCUCACACGUGGGUAAGUUAUGGUGGCCUUUAAUUUAGGGAAGUCCAAACAGAACACACCAACCCAUUAUGUACCUCUGAGCGUUGAGCCCAGAGAACGUGAGCAGCACUCCCAGCCGUUUUUACUUUAUUUUGACCCAGGGUCUCAUGAAAUUGCCCUGACUGACCUCAAAUUUGCAAUGGUCCUGUCUCAGCCUCCCCAGAGGCAGGGACUACAGCGUGGCUGCCACCCCCAGCUCACACCUACUUACUGUGGCUGUUCAGAUGUCCGUGA